CCUACGGGAGGCAGCAGUGGGGAAUAUUGCACAAUGGGGGAAACCCUGAUGCAGCGACGCCGCGUGAGUGAAGAAGUAAUUCGUUAUGUAAAGCUCUAUCAGCAGGGAAGAAAAUGAUGGUACCUGAGUAAGAAGCCCCGGCUAACUACGUGCCAGCAGCCGCGGUAAUACGUAGGGGGCAAGCGUUAUCCUGAUUUACUGGUUGUAAAGGGUGCGUAGGCGGACUGGAAAGUCAGCGGUAAAAUCGAGAGGCUCAACCUCUUUCCGCCGUUGAAACUGUCGGUCUUGAGUGGGCGAGAAGUAGGCGGAAUGCGUGGGGUAGCGGUGAAAUGCAGAGAUAUCACGCAGAACUCCGAUUGCGAAGGCAGCAUACCGGCGCCCGACUGACGCUGAGGCACGAAAGCGUGGGUAUCGAACAGGAUUAGAUACCCUGGUAGUC
rnacentral:rRNA from 1 species